GAUGAACGCUGGCGGCGUGCCUAAUACAUGCAAGUCGAGCGAACGGACGAGAAGCUUGCUUCUCUGAUGUUAGCGGCGGACGGGUGAGUAACACGUGGAUAACCUACCUAUAAGACUGGGAUAACUUCGGGAAACCGGAGCUAAUACCGGAUAAUAUUUUGAACCGCAUGGUUCAAAAGUGAAAGACGGUCUUGCUGUCACUUAUAGAUGGAUCCGCGCUGCAUUAGCUAGUUGGUAAGGUAACGGCUUACCAAGGCAACGAUGCGUAGCCGACCUGAGAGGGUGAUCGGCCACACUGGAACUGAGACACGGUCCAGACUCCUACGGGAGGCAGCAGUAGGGAAUCUUCCGCAAUGGGCGAAAGCCUGACGGAGCAACGCCGCGUGAGUGAUGAAGGUCUUCGGGUCGUAAAACUCUGUUAUUAGGGAAGAACAUAUGUGUAAGUAACUGUGCACAUCUUGACGGUACCUAAUCAGAAAGCCACGGCUAACUACGUG
rnacentral:rRNA from 1 species